GAGACGGAUGGGAUUCGAAGAUACGGGAUGGGAGGAGACGGGAUGCGAAAAGGACGGGCUGGGGCCCUCCUGCCUUGCCGGACAAGACUGCUCUGAACUGGGGCUAAAGAGGGUCCCAAGCCCAGGCCCAUGAAUCAUGCUCACCUGCGGGCAGCCGUCGGGCCGCUCUCCCCGGGCAACAGCUACCGCCGCCGGCGGAACUACAGCGGGGCCGGGACCGGAGCCUGGGCCGGGGCCGCGGCGUUGCCCAGCCGGGGGUGUCCCGGGCUCAGAGGAGCUGAGCGAGGGGAAAUCCAGAGUCUUGUUGUCGAAGGCAUCCUCCACGCUGCAGAACAUCCCCCCGCGCUUCUGCCGCGGCCGCGGGCUGCCCGCGCCCAGCCCCGCGAAGCAGGCGGGCAGAGCCUCCUCCCGCGGCACCGACAUGGGCUCGGGGGGGUCCCUGGGUAGCCCCCACCGCCACCCCCCCGGUGCCGGGCCCGGUGCUCUCUUCAGCCGUCUGGCCCUGGGGAGCGCGACAAAGUGCUCUAAAAGCGGGGCAGGAACCCCCCGCCCCGGCCCCGCUGCCACCGGACAGUCACCGAGCAGCCUGGGAAAGGCACCGGCAACGCGGGCUCGGCCGCUCCUCCCGCUCCCCACCCCGCCCCACCGGGGCUGCGGGGCCGGCGCUGGGUCUGGGGGAGGGUUCUGUCCCCCCAGGCGAAGUGUCACUGCCUGGCACCGUCACAGCAUCGCUCCCGACAGCGCGCCCGCUGCGCAUCGCAGGGCGCCGAGUGGCCUCGAUGCCAGUGGCGGCUGAAGGAGAGGUUCCAGGCAAACCUUCUGGUGGCCUUGCAGUGCUUAGAGGGGAUGAGAAGAAAGCUAGGGACAGGCUUUUGAGCAGAGACUUUCACACUAGAUGGAAGGAAGAAAUAUUUGACACUGAGGGUGAUAAGAGCCUGGCUCAGGUCGCCCAGAGAGGUGGGAGGUGUCCCAUGCCUGAAACCGCUGCGGGUCAGGUUAUCUGGGGCUGUGAGCAACCUGCCCUAGUUGCAGACAUACCUGCUGAUGGCAGGAGGGUCGGAGUGGAUGACCUUUAAAGGUCACUCCCCACCCAAACCACUCUCUGACUCCACGAUUCUCUAAUUCAUCAGCAGAACAUCCUUCCAAGGAGAACUCAUCCCCCCACCUCUGUUUUCAAACUUGGAUUCAAGUGGGCUUGAUCCCAGCAGUAGCUGAGCAGUGUGAGAAGGGGAAAAGCUCAGCUCAGCAGGAGGUCCUGCAUCUCCAAGAGUCUUUGUUACUCACCAUUUCAUCCAAGUUUUGAGCACCUGGGAACAUGCUCCAGUGGCCAAGGUGGUGCUGGGUUGAUGGUUGGACUUGAUGAUCUUAGGAGUCUUUUCCAACCAAAACAACUAUGAUUCUAACCCUGGGAAAGAACCAACCCAGCUGCUCUACAACCCGGGGAAAGAACCAACCCAGCUGCUCUGCAACCCGGGCAAAGAACCAACCCAGCUGCUCUGCAACCCGGGGAAAGAACCAACCCAGCUGCUCUGCAACCUGGGGAAAGAACCAACCCAGCUGCUCUGCAACCUGGGGAAAGAACCAACCCAGCUGCUCUGCAAUCCGGGGAGAGAACCAACCCAGCUGCUCUGCAACCCGGGCAAAGAACCAACCCAGCUGCUCUGCAAUCCGGGGAGAGAACCAACCCAGCUGCUCUGCAACCUGGGGAAAGAACCAACCCAGCUGCUCUGCAACCUGGGGAAAGAACCAACCCAGCUGCUCUGCAACCUGGGGAAAGAACCAACCCAGCUGCUCUGCAACCCGGGGAGAGAACCAACUCAGCUGCUCUGCAACCCGGGGAGAGAACCAACCCAGCUGCUCUGCAACCUGGGGAGAGAACCAACCCAACUUCUCUGCAACCCGGGGAGAGAACCAAGCCAACUCCUCUGAUAUGAAGGGCUUAAAAGGUCUCUUUUUAUUAAAAGCUGACAAUACUGUAGGUACUUUACAAAUGAAUAGAAAGUCUCUUGCUAUAUAUUAUAUGAAUCACCAUACAAAAAUAUCUGUAAAAUUCUGUAACUGCUCAGCCCAGCCCCUCUGUGGGGCUGACCAGUCCCCUUCCAGCACUGAACCCAGCACAGAGCAGUCAGGGCAGGGUCGCUGGGGUUCUCCAAGAGGCCACGGUCACGGCCUGCCAGCCCAAGGGGGACAAACAUGGUCUCUGGGUAGGGGUUUGCAUAAGGUGACGGCGGCUCCUCUGCCAAAUAGGUAGGUCCAGGGUCUAUCACA